GGGAGGAGCAGGUCUUGCCAGCGGGAUGCUCCGCGCCGGGCUGUGCCGUGCCGGGCUGCGGGGUGAGCCGGAGGAUGGAGCAGGUGCCGCGGCUCCGAGCUGGACAGGCGAGAUAGAAAAGGAAGACACAGAAGCACCUACUCCAUGCCUGGGAGCUGAAUGAACGACAGCAUCACUCACUCCAAUCUUAGUGAAAUUUACUGAUUUUUUUUUUUUAACAUACAACACAAUUUCUACUGCAAAGACACAUCUUCCCCUCUUCUGUCAGCACACAAGCAGGACUUACUAGCAGGCAAUAAUUUACAGCCAAAAGGUCAGCUGUGUUUCCUCAGCUGGAUCCAAGAAGUGUUUCCAUCCUCUGAUCAGCCCUGAGGAAAUCCUUCCACAAUCCAAGUGUAGCUGCUUUUCUUUGCCUCCUUUCCAAGGGGCAGAGAAUGCAGGGAAGCAGAUCCCCUGCCAGUGUAAACCAGCACUGUUCUACUGCCUCAAAGGGACCUCCAUCAGGAAGAAGAGAAGAUGCUCCAUCUCACCCCAUCCCAUCUCCUUCCUCCUGCCAUGGAAGCACGAGAAAUCACCUCCCCCCCUGGUCUGGAGAGGACUUUUCCCCUGUGCCAGGUCAGGAAUCGCUGCCCAGCUGACUUGCACUGUGUUUUAGUGCAGCAGAAAUUAAACAGACCCAUGAACUGGGACCAAAGUGUCUAUUGACAGGGAUAUUAUUUGAGAAGACUUUAAAUGUGUGCUGCACAAGAUAAAACCUGGCAGACAAUAGAAGAGCAGCUUUUUUCUUUUAUUUUAGUCUUUCGAAAGCAGGAUUGCCUGACAUACUCAGUGUUAUAACAAAUACAUGUUUUUAAAUGGUUUAGAGCGAUUGGAAAUAUAAAACCCCAGAACAUUAGCAUUUACUUUAACUGUCUCACAGAAUUAGGGAAAAAAAAUUAUUUCAGAGCAGUUAUGUCUCCUCAAGUCAAGUGUUAAACAAAAAUGGAUUAAAUUAAUGUGCCCUUUUGAAUUCAAGCACCAAACAUUUAAAAGAUUUGUGUAUAAAGCACCAGCCCUCCCAGGCCACAUACACCUACACAGGUGCUGCAUUUCUGAACACAGCAUGCAGAAGGUAUUUUCCAAAGGUAAAAUGCACCCAAAAUGUUCUGCAUUUGUACCUGAGAAGUUUCAGAUGUGAGGAGUUGCAUCCUGGGCUAGGCUUUAUCCUUGGCCUGGCCCACUCAGCUGCCUCCAGCAGACACAGACCCUCAAAAGCUUUCCCAGACAAUGGCUUGUCACAGCAAAUGAAGAUGAGUAGCUCCAGUUUCUGGACCCUGUUUGUGCCUCCCAGUGGUUGGCCAGCCUCAGAGGGACCAGAUUCCUUGGGAGGCUAAUCCUGCCUCCAUCUAAAAUGCAGACCAGCUCUUUCUCUUUCUGUUCUUGAGCACUAUUUUCCUCCUCUAUCUUCCAAUUCAUUGUACAAGAAAAUCUAUUGUUAUUUUAAUUUUUUUUUAAAUUUAUUUUACCUUUUUACAUUUGAGACAAACUUUUAAAAUCCUCCUGAAACAAGCUAGGGAAGAGUUGAAAAAAUGAAGUUCAUUUUCUUAGGUAUCUCUGCUCUGUACCCCCUACACUCUCCCCACAUCCCCAUCCAAAUUCCACCAUGUCCCCUUGGACACCCCCAGCUCAACCAGAGGCAGCACAUGCUGGAGCUGUCACAAUGGACCAGCUCACCGACCCUUGGCCAUCAAACCCACUCCUUUCUGCUUCUCUGGAAAUGAUCCUCUGCCAGCUGACAAAAUUUGUAGAAGCAUAACUGUCUUUGAGACAGUUACCCUGCUCUCAAAUGUGAUUGAAAUUGGCCAACCUGCUAAAAAGUGAUGGUGGUGGAAGAGAGACUGGCGAGGAGACAGAUGGCAGACAGCUCAGCUUUAGCCUCCACUGAGCUGAUUGAGAAGUGGGAAUGCUUUCACCCUCUCGUGAAAAAUGAUAUCACUCUUUUUGCUGAAAUUCAAAACUUAGUUUCCUGACAUUAAAAAUGUGACUUUUCCAAGUGGUCAAAAUUAGGAUGAAUGGAAAAAAAAAAAAAAAAAAAAAAAAAAAAAAAAGAUGUCUUGACAAAACAGCACUUGGUACUUUGCCAAGGGAUGAAGUCAUUCUAAAGAAUUAAAAUGCAGCUGGAGGAAGGACAGGAUAAUCAGAACGAUAAAACACAACACAGCCGGGAGCUCACACGUGCUCGUGCUGAGCAGUGGUGUCCCAGCAGGAGCAGCAAGUGGAGUGCUGAGCCCUUGCAAAUAUUUGUGUGGUGGUGUUGUACACCAAGCUCACAGAAAACCUGAGCUUUCACUACCAAAUUUACAGGCAGCCCCAUUUAGGCCAGGCUGACCAAGUGCUGGCACCAAGACCCGUGGCCCAGUCGCCCCUCACUGAGUUCAGUGCCAGCAGCUUCAUCGUGGUGUGUGCUGAGCUCACAUGGGGCCACAGGCAAGUCUGCCUGCAGGAAUGAAACAAACCCCGUGCUGGUCAGCCCUGAACUGGGGAUCAGCCUGGGAAAACCCACCUGGGGCUGAGGACACUCCCACAAGGACAGGGUGAGGCUGGAGGAACAGCAAGGCAAGAAUGGUGCUCCCAGUGCCCCAGUCCUCCAGAGCCAUCAGCGGCAUCCCUCGGCACUGGGGUUACUGGGAAGGAGAUUUGGUGGGGAAUUGAGGCUGUUGAUUGGGCAGAGAGAAUUUUAAGUGAUUUUCAGGAAAUGCACAGGGUGAAGCAGUGUUAGGAUAACCAAGCCAGGAAAACGCUGUCCUGGUACCCAGCUCAAACCCUGGCAGCAGCACCCACCUGAGCUCCCAAACCCCUGGGGGAUGUGUGCCUGGCUCUGCAGAUCCCUCUCUGUGCCUGGAGGAGCUGCUGGGAGGCUGCUGCAACCCAGAGCAGCCCCCAGCCCACCCUGCCAGCCCUCUCAGCUGAGCCUGGUCACCCACAAACAUCAGCCCUCAGCAAAACAGGUAUUUCAUCUCCAGUUUACACCAGGAGGGUGAGCUUUUCCAAACCCCCUAGUUUCUCUCUGAGCCUCCCAGAAUAUACCAUUUCUCCACUGUCUUUAAGAUGAAGGGCCCUGGGCUGGGUUUUCUGUGUCCUCAGACAUGUCUUAUAUUAAGUGCCUUUGCUGAGGUUUCCAAGCACUGAAGCUACCAACUGUUGCCAGGAAAGGAAACUCUAUUUCAGGGCUGGUCCUGGAAAGCCAACCCUGUGGGUGCCAGCAGGGCUGCAGAAAUCGUGGAUUCUCAUGUCUCCCUCGAAUAUGGCACUGCUAUUCUGAGAGGAACAAACUAACCCCAGUUCAAAGUCACCAAUCUGGGAAUUUUUUUUAGCUUCUAUCAUUCUCCAUUUUAAUGUGGGCAGGUAUUACAACUGCAACCUACCAGAAGUAAACCACUCACAAAUACGACAUGACCAAAGGUAGGUGCAAACAAAAGUAGCCACCAGAUACAGACACACCCUUUGUUGGCACAAUUUCACCUCUCCAGCUCAUUGUUUGAGCUCUUACCUUUGUCUCCACCAAGUGGCCACCCCAGCUUUGAUGGGGGCAUCCCUCUGUGCCCCAUACCCACAGCCAGGGUGUCAGCAAGGCUGGUGCCUCCUCACAGCAGGGACACAGGUGACACUGGCUCUGUGUGCCCUGGUGCAGGUGCCAACACACCUUUGGUGUAGGAGAAAUGCUGAGUGCAGGGUGCCACCACAGUGAGGGCUGAGGGGCUUCUUCCCCAGCUCCUGCCAGGGCUGGAUGAGAGAGCAGGGAAGAGCAGAUGUCAAAGGCAUAGCCAGCACUUUUCCUUCCCCACAGAGUUGGCUGAAUGGCUGUAUGCAGGGGGAAGCAGAGACAUGAUGGUGAUGCCUUAGGAUUUAGCUUUUAUAUUUUUCAGAUCCUGUACUGCUUUAGUGUAUAACUCUAAACUCCACAGCCUGUCUGCUACUGUUCUCCCAUUUUAUCCACACAAAACAAUUCCUCUCUAGGUCUGAAACUCAAGGACACCUUUUUGUCUCAGGCACUGAGAGAUGCAAACAGCAGUGAAUUGUGGGGGGGAAAACUUGGAGUAAAUGACUUCAUUACCUGAAAUAGUAAUUGAAGGAUUAACCCCUGCUAUGUAAAUGGACCAAACUUGUAACUGCAUGAAAACCCUGUGACUGUCAUGUCCAUCUUGGGUGUAGCCUCUGGAAAGCUUCUGACUGCCCAAGGUGUACCCAGUGAAUGCCUUCAUUAAUACCCACUUUCAUUCCCCUAAUUUUGUCUAUCCUCUGUUUCAGGUGGCCACUCCAGGGUAUCAGUGGGACAUGAGAAUCCUUCCAGCCCCCAAAACACCCCAGCCUGCUGCCACAGGGCCCCUGUGUCCAUGUGGCACCAAGAGCAGGGCAGACACUUCCCAUUCCUCCCAGUCCUGCAUUAUGCACCAGGCACCUGCAUCCCUGUUCUGAACAAAACACGUUCCCCUCUCCUGGAUGCAUAUUCACUCCAUUCUGUGCUAUUCACAGCAAGAACAAAAAGGAAGAUACGUUGGGUUUGCAUGUCUACAUGAGCCAUCUGCUUCUAUUUUAUUGAUGAAACCUGUAACAGCAGCAUUCUCCAUGACAAAAUAAGACUGUGUCUAAGGUGUGGACAGCUGUGUGUGUGCAGGGGUAGUUUCAGCCCAGAAUUCUGCAGAAGCUGGGUUUAAUGUUGAUUUUUUUUUUUUUCCAGUCAGAUAUCAUCUAGACAUUAGUAUUCCUAACACAGCAUAUAAUUAGCAAGAGGCAAUAUAUUGUAUGAUCAUGCACAUUAGCACUUAAGUAGAAUAAAAAAUGUUUCAUUGUCAACUACAUGAAAAGCUAAGAAUAAACCCAGAGCAGUUUUCCAGUUAAAUAUCCAAA